rnacentral:rRNA from 1 species
CCCUUAGAUGUUCUGGGCCGCACACGCGCUACACUGAAGGAGGCAGCGUGUACUCCUGGAUCGAAAGAUUUGGGUAACCCGCGAAUCUCCUUCGUGCUAGGGAUUGAGGUUUGCAAUUAUCCUUCAUGAACGAGGAAUUCCCAGUAAGUGCAAGUCAUAAGCUUGCGCUGACUACGUCCCUGCCCUUUGUACACACCGCCCGUCGCACCUACCGAUUGGAUGGUCCGGUGAAGCCUCGGGAUUGUGGUUCUUGCCGCUUUAUUGUGGCGUGACCGCGAGAACUUGUCUAAACCUUAUCAUCUAGAGGAAGGUGAAGUCGUANCA